rnacentral:rRNA from 1 species
UUAUUCGUGAAUUAUUGGGCGUAAAGCGAUCUGUAGGUGCCCAURAAAGUGUAAUGUUAAAGAUCAGGGCUCAACCCUGGGMAAGCAUUGCAAACUAUCUUACUUGAGUUCGGUAGGGGCAGAGAGAAUUCCCAGUGUAGCGGUGAAAUGCGUAGAUAUUGGGAGGAGGACCGGUGGCGAAGGCGUUCUGCUGGGCCGUAACUGACACUCAGAGACGAAAGCUAAGGUAGCAAAUAGGAUUAGAUACCCUAGUAGUCUUAGCUGUAAACGAUGCACAYUAUGUUUUGCAAUUUGCAGAGCAAUAGCUAACGCGUUAAGUGUGCCGCCUGGGGAGUACAUUCGCAAGGAUGAAACUCAAAGGAAUUGACGGGGACCCGCACAAGCGGUGGAGCAUGUGGUUUAAUUCGAUGCAACGCGAAGAACCUUACCAAGAAUUGACAUGCUGCGAACGUUUACGAAAGUAAAAAGUCUAUUAACUUARUUAAUAGCGCAGACACAGGUGGUGCAUGGUUGUCGUCAGCUCGUGCCGUGAGGUGUUAGGUUAAGUCCUGCAACGAGCGCAACCCUUSUCUUUAGUUAUAUUCUAGAGAGACUGCCGGUGAUAMACCGGANGAWGGUGAGGAUGACGUCAAAUCAGCCUGCCCCUUAC